rnacentral:rRNA from 1 species
AUACGUAGGGGGCAAGCGUUGUCCGGAAUCAUUGGGCGUAAAGAGCUCGUAGGCGGCUCAGUAAGUCGAUCGUGAAAUACCGGGGCUCAACCCCGGGAGGUCGGUCGAUACUGCUGUGGCUUGAGUCCGGUAGAGGAAGGUGGAAUUCCCGGUGUAGCGGUGGAAUGCGCAGAUAUCGGGAGGAACACCAGUAGCGAAGGCGGCCUUCUGGGCCGGCACUGACGCUGAGGAGCGAAAGCGUGGGUAGCAAACAGGAUUAGAUACCCUGGUAGUCCACGCCGUAAACGAUGGAUACUAGGUGUGGCGGAUCGUCAACGACUGCCGUGCCGAAGCUAACGCAUUAAGUAUCCCGCCUGGGGAGUACGGCCGCAAGGCUAAAAACUCAAAGGAAUUGACGGGACCCCGCACAAGCGGCGGAGCAUGCGGCUUAAUUCGAUGAUACCCGUAGAACCUUACCUGGACUUGACAUAUAGGGUCAAGCUAUAGAGAUAUAGUGUGCAUUAGCGCCCUAUACA